rnacentral:rRNA from 1 species
GACGAACGCUGGCGGCGUGCUUAACACAUGCAAGUCGAACGGUAAGGCCCUUCGGGGUACACGAGUGGCGAACGGGUGAGUAACACGUGGGUGAUCUGCCCUGCACUUCGGGAUAAGCCUGGGAAACUGGGUCUAAUACCGGAUAGGACCACUGCCUGCAUGGGUGGUGUGGAAAGCCUUUGCGGUGUGGGAUGGGCCCGCCGCCUAACAGCUUGUUGGUGGGGUGAUGGCCUACCAAGGCGACGACGGGUAGCCGGCCUGAGAGGGUGACCGGCCACACUGGGACUGAGAUACGGCCCAGACUCCUACGGGAGGCAGCAGUGGGGAAUAUUGCACAAUGGGCGCAAGCCUGAUGCAGCGACGCCGCGUGAGGGAUGACGGCCUUCGGGUUGUAAACCUCUAUCAGCACCGACGAAGCGCAAGUGACGGUAGGUGCAGAAGAAGGACCGGCCAACUACGUGCCAGCCGCCGCAGUAA